AUUGAACGCUGGCGGCAUGCCUUACACAUGCAAGUCGAACGGCAGCACGGGGGCGAACCCUGUGGCGAGUGGCGAACGGGUGAGUAAUGCAUCGGAACGUGCCCAGUAGUGGGGAGUAACUAGUCGAAAGAUUAGCUAAUACCGCAUACGACCUAUGGGUGAAAGCGGGGGAGUUCGCAAGAACCUCGCGCUAUUGGAGCGGCCGAUGUCUGAUUAGCUAGNGGUCGGGGUAAAAGACCCACCAAGGCUUCGAUCAGUAGCUGGUCUGAGAGGACGACCAGCCACACUGGGACUGAGACACGGCCCAGACUCCUACGGGA
rnacentral:rRNA from 1 species